AAGGAGACAGGAUGGAGGUGUUCCCCUCCCAAGGAGACAGGAUGGAGGUGCUCCCCUCCCAAGGAGACACGAUGGAGGCGCUCCCCUCCCAGUGAGACAGGAUGGAGGCACUCUCCCACACAGGUGAAGAAACGCGUUUCUCAGGCACACAGCUCCUAUGGCCCCCAAACAUACUGCCUUACCGCACUGUGCUGGACAGAAGGCCCCACUGGAGCCUCCGCAGCCCUCCUGCCACAGGCAGCCCCUCAACCGUACAGGAUCCUGCCCAGGAGAGCUGGCCAUGGACAGGCACAGAAGUGUACCCGUGGGGUCCCCCACUGAGCACAUGGCGGCUCCAGAGCAGUUGCUGGACAGGAUCCAGUCCUGUGCUGUCCCUCCACACUUCUGCUGUAGGCACAAAGAAGCUCCAGAGGCACAGUGGAAGAAAGCAGGGAGUACCUCACAGAACUCACCCCCUGCCAGAAAGGCUGAGGGGCAGCCAGCUGAUGCCCAGAGAACGCCAUGCCAUACACAGCAGGACCACAGGAUGCUCCUG